GGUGCAUGUAUCUUUUUCAAUGAAUGCUUUGUCUGUAUAUAUGCCAGUGGGAUUGCUGGGUCAUAUUGUAGUUCUACAUUUAGUUUUCUGAGGUACCUCCAUACUAUUUUCCACAGCUUUUUUAGAGUUCACAUUCCUCGUGGCAGUCUUCCUCUGUCUUCAAAUCCAGCAAAGUCUUAUAUUUCUGACAUGUCUUCUGUCGUCAUUUCUCUUUCUCUGACUACAGCUGAGAAAGAUUCUUCACUUUUAAGUAUCCAUUUAAUUAUAUUAGCCCCACCCAUAUAAUGCAACAUAAUGUUUCCAUCUCAAAGGCCUUAACCUCAAUACAUCUUCAAAGUCCUUUUUGCCACGUCAGAUAACAUAUUCACAGAUGGCUGGGAUUAGGACACAGACAACUUGGGGUGGGGGAGGGACAGUAUUCUGUCUACUUCACAGGAUUGCUAGCAAUACAGAAAUUUCUAUGCAUGAAACACAAGUUGUGUUUACAGAGAGACAGAAUACAAUUGUGGACCGGGCACUGGGUGGAAUUUUUAAGGCCUGGGCUCAAUUUCCAAUACAUACUUCAGAAAAUGCAUUGGAGGCAGAGGAAACAAUGUGAUCCAAGAGAUAUGAAAACACAGUGUAUUUAAGAAACACUCAAUUAUCAACUGGAGUACAGCACUACCAGAGUCUUUGGGGAAAAAUGGAGAGACCGAAUGUCAGCUAGGAACUGGACCAUCAUCAGAAAGCAAUUGAAAGUCGUUGAGAGUGAGCAACAGCAGCCAUAUCUGCACCUUCUAAUGAGUCAUCUGGAAGCAAGAUGUAGAGAGAGCUAGAAGGGAGAUAUUUCAGGUAGACAGACACUCUAAAGACUAUUGCCUUCUUCUGGGAAAGACAUUUGGACACGGGAUGAUGGCGGUGAAAAUGCCACGAAUGCAGUGGCUGGUGAAGUAAGAGAGCUAAAUGGUCCUUUCAGUUAGGUUUGAUGGAGCUGAAUUUGAUGCAGCUGAACACUGAGCAUCAUGGUGAUGACAAUCUCUGGGGCAUUAAUCUUGACAAAAUAAAUCUAAAUAUAAUUUUUAAUGUAAUAUUUUUAGGAAAAAAUCUAGAAAUUUUUUUGAGCUUCAUGUUCAUUAGCUCCUAGAUAAUUUAUGUUUGGGGGUCCUGUGCUAAUUGACUGGAGAAAUGAAUUCCAACUAUGUACAGGGAAGAAAUGGAGCCUCAGGGAGAGCUUUAUAGCUGGAUGGUGUAUCAGCAUCAAGAUUUUCCUGGAAGAAGUAUCAGGAGAGAUUCUGGAGUAAGAGAAUGAUAUAGAGUGGGGGGGGGGAUAAAUAUCAUAGGAGAAAGAGAAGAUGAAGUGUGGGUAGACUAUUUCAGCAAAUACAAUUCCCAAUUUCUAAAAUUUAGGAAAAAUUCACUAAAUUUGAAGAUGGCUGUUAAAAGCAAUCAGCGUGCAGAGCAACAACACCCAGAUUAAAGAUGCCCAUGCUGGAAAAGGUUACAUGGAUUUGAUUUCAUCUGCAAAAAAUUAGCUUAGCAAAGAUGGAGGCUACUGUGGCACCCUUCCGACUGAGAAGAUAGAAUAGGAGUCUAUCCUGAGACUUCAGCUCCCUGAAAUCUUUUUUUUCUGACAUCCUGUUACUUUGCCGCAUUGCUAUUUCAGAGUUAACUUAUCCAGAGAAAAACUGGCCUGACUCGUGUGUGAGCCUUGGCAAGUUUGUAGUCUGUUGGUGGUAUGGCUGUAGGCCCACUUCCCAUCUAGUGAAUAUAGUCAAUGACUGUAUGUUUUUGGUAUGCAGGCCUGUUUAUGUGUAUCAGAGAAAGAACUUAGACAUAAAGGAAAAAGCCUCUAAGGUAUUUGAGCCUUGCAACUACUGUUAAGUGUGAGGUGGGCUACCUUCUUCUGACCGCACAGGUUUCUCUCAUUUUGUUAAUAAAAGCCAGACUCCAUGGUUAUAGUUACUGGCAGGGCAAUGAUGAGUAAGAGGUGGGGAGAGCAGAUGUACAGAACUGCCAUGGCAAAUUGUGAUACUUAUCCUCUGGUACUAGUUUUAGAUGUUUGCUGUUAAAAAACAAUGAAAAAAGGCUGAGAUCUUUUCUGAUUUGUUAAUUCUUUGUGGCUCAGGUGAACCGUCUUCCUUAGAGAGCAGUUAACACUACCAGUCCACCUUACUGGAAUUAAAUCAGAAGUUCAGAUACAGACAGAAUCUUCAAAAAAAAUUAAACACCUUUAAAAACUGAAAAUUUUAGUCCAAUAUCCAGAUGUUUGAGCAUAUGGUGCCAAACAUCUGCAUAUUCAUUCUACUUUGAUUUGGCAAGCUUUUAUUGAAAGGUCUGGAAGAUCAUGUAUCAGUGAACUAACUCAUUGAGAAUAUCAGACCUGGAAAGAGGCCUAGAGAUCAUCUGUUUGCUCCAUUUCGGAGCUGAGAGUGGAGUGAAGAUAGCACUGUCCAGUGGUGGAAAGAAAGAUAAAGUUGGGAGAGAGUGAUUAGGGCUACAAGAGCUCUAAACCACAACAAAGUACUGGAAAGAAGAGUCUGUGAAGCCAAGGAUAGAACCCAAGCUGCAGCUGCAACCUGCUACAACAACACCAGAUUGUUAACCUGCUCUGCCUCAAGGGAACUUCCAG